rnacentral:rRNA from 1 species
GAUGAACGCUGACAGAAUGCUUAACACAUGCAAGUCAACUUGAACCUCGGUUUGGGUGGCGGACGGGUGAGUAACGCGUAAAGAACUUGCCUCACAGAUAGGGACAACAUUUGGAAACGAAUGCUAAUACCUGAUAUUAUGAUUAUAUGGCAUCGUAUAAUUAUGAAAGCUAUAUGCGCUGUGAGAGAGCUUUGCGUCCCAUUAGCUAGUUGGAGAGGUAACGGCUCACCAAGGCGAUGAUGGGUAGCCGGCCUGAGAGGGUGAUCGGCCACAAGGGGACUGAGACACGGCCCUUACUCCUACGGGAGGCAGCAGUGGGGAAUAUUGGACAAUGGACCAAGAGUCUGAUCCAGCAAUUCUGUGUGCACGAUGAAGUUUUUCGGAAUGUAAAGUGCUUUCAGUUGGGAAGAAAAAAAUGACGGUACCAACAGAAGAAGUGACGGCUAAAUACGUG